rnacentral:rRNA from 1 species
CUACGGGUUGCUGCAGUGGGGAAUAUUGCACAAUGGGCGCAAGCCUGAUGCAGCCAUGCCGCGUGUAUGAAGAAGGCCUUCGGGUUGUAAAGUACUUUCAGCGGGGAGGAAGGGAGUAAAGUUAAUACCUUUGCUCAUUGACGUUACCCGCAGAAGAAGCACCGGCUAACUCCGUGCCAGCAGCUGCGGUAAUACGGAGGGUGCAAGCGUUAAUCGGAAUUACUGGGCGUAAAGCGCACGCAGGCGGUUUGUUAAGUCAGAUGUGAAAUCCCCGGGCUCAACCUGGGAACUGCAUCUGAUACUGGCAAGCUUGAGUCUCGUAGAGGGGGGUAGAAUUCCAGGUGUAGCGGUGACAUGCGUAGAGAUCUGGAGGAAUACCGGUGGCGAAGGCGGCCCCCUGGACGAAGACUGACGCUCAGGUACGAAAGCGUGGGGAGCAAACAGGAUUAGAUACCCUCGUAGUC